rnacentral:rRNA from 1 species
CCCUUAGAUGUUCUGGGCUGCACGCGCGCUACACUGAUGCGUUCAACGAGCCUAGCCUUGACCGAGAGGUCCGGGUAAUCUUUGAAACUGCAUCGUGAUGGGGCUAGAUUAUUGCAAUUAUUAAUCUUCAACGAGGAAUGCCUAGUAAGCGUGAUUCAUCAAAUCGCGUUGAUUACGUCCCUGCCCUUUGUACACACCGCCCGUCGCUCCUACCGAUUGAAUGUGUUGGUGAGGAGCUCGGAUUGGCAGCAGUUGGUGGUUCGCCACCGGCUAUUGCUGAGAAGUCCUCCAAACCGCCCCAUUUAGAGGAAGGAGAANUCGUAACA